GAUGAACGCUGGCGGCGUGCCUAAUACAUGCAAGUCGAGCGAACAGACGAGGACCUUGCCCCUCUGACGUUAGCGGCGGACGGGUGAGUAAGACGUGGAUAACCUACCUAUAAUACUGGGAUAACUGCGGGAAACCGGAGCUAACACCGGAUAAUAUAUCGAACCGUCUGGUUCAUUAGUGAAAGACGGUUUUGUGGACACUUAUAGACGGAUGCGGGCCGCAUUAGCUAGUUGGUAAGGUAACGGCUCACCAAGGAACCGAUGCGUAGCCGACCUGAUAGGGUGGUCGGCCACACGUGACAUGGGAAACGGGCCACGCUCCUGAGGGAGGCAGCAGGAGGCAGUCUUCAGCAAUGGGCGAAAGCCUGACGGAGGAACGCCGCGUGAAGGAUGAAGGUCUACGGAUUGUAAAUCGCUGUUAUUAGGAAAGAACAAAUGUGUAAGUAACCAUGCACAUAUGAAGGGUACCCAAUCAGAAGGCCACGGUAAACUCCUG
rnacentral:rRNA from 1 species